rnacentral:rRNA from 1 species
GUGAGGAAUAUUGCGCAAUGGAGGCAACUCUGACGCAGCCAUGCCGCGUGCAGGAAGAAGGCGCUACGCGUUGUAAACUGCUUUUAACCGGGAAGAAACCCCAGGACGUGUCCUGGGUUGACGGUACCGGAGGAAUAAGCACCGGCUAACUUCGAGCCAGCAGCCGCGGUAAUACGAAGGGUGCAAGCGUUAUCCGGAUUCAUUGGGUUUAAAGGGUGCGUAGGCGGAGCGUUAAGUCAGUGGUGAAAUCCUGCAGCUUAACUGUAGACUUGCCAUUGAUACUGGCGCUCUUGAGUGCGCUUGAAGUGGGCGGAAUGUGCCGUGUAGCGGUGAAAUGCUUAGAUAUGGCACAGAACACCAAUUGCGAAGGCAGCUCACUAAGGCGAUACUGACGCUGAGGCACGAAAGCGUGGGGAUCGAACAGGAUUAGAAACCCUUGUAGUCC